rnacentral:misc_RNA from 1 species
GAUGAAGAACGUAGCGAAAUGCGAUAAGUAGUGUGAAUUGCGGAAUUCAGUGAAUCAUCGAAUCUUUGAACGCACAUUGCGCCCCUCGGUAUUCCGUGGGGCAUGCCUGUUCGAGCGUCAUUUAACCCCUCAAGCCUAGCUUGGUAUUGGGUGCUUGUCCCGCCUCUCGCGCGGCGACUCACCUCAAAGUCAUUGGCAGCCCGCAUCUCGCCGGCCGUGAGCGCAGCACAGACGCGCUCUUGGCAACGACGGAUCGGCUCUCCAAAAGCUUAUUUCAACCACUGACCUCGGAUCAGGUAGGGAUACCCGCUGAACUUAAGCAUAUCAAUAAGCGGAGGA